rnacentral:rRNA from 1 species
AUUGAACGCUGGCGGCAGGCCUAACACAUGCAAGUCGAGCGGAUGAAGGGAGCUUGCUCCUGGAUUCAGCGGCGCACGGGUGAGUAAUGCCUAGGAAUCUUCCUGGUAGUGGGGGAUUACGUCCGGAAAAGGGCGCUAAUACCGCAUACGACUUGCGGGAGAACGUGGGGUAUCUUCGUACUUCACGCUAUCAGAUGAUCCUCGGUCGGAUUAGCUAGUUGGUGGGGUAAUGGCCUACCAAGGCGACGAUCCGUAACUGGUCUGAGAGGAUGAUCAGUCACACUAGAACUGAGACACGGUCCAGACUCCUACGGGAGGCAGAAGUGGGGAAUAUUGGACAAUGGGCGAAAGGCUGAUCCAGCCAUGCCGCGUGUGUGAAGAAGGUCUUCGGAUUGUAAAGCACUUUAAGUUUGGAAGAGGAACAGUCAGAUAAUAGCUUACUGGGUUGACGUUACCGACAGAAUAAGCACCGGCUAACUUCGUG